UACGUAGGGUGCAAGCGUUGUCCGGAAUUAUUGGGCGUAAAGAGCUCGUAGGCGGUCUGUCGCGUCGGCUGUGAAAACUCGGGGCUCAACUCCGAGCUUGCAGUCGAUACGGGCAGGCUAGAGUUCGGCAGGGGAGACUGGAAUUCCUGGUGUAGCGGUGAAAAUGCGCAGAUAUCAGGAGGAACACCGGUGGCGAAGGCGGGUCUCUGGGCCGAUACUGACGCUGAGGAGCGAAAGCAUGGGGUAGCGAACAGG
rnacentral:rRNA from 1 species